rnacentral:rRNA from 1 species
UGCGUAGGCGGAACAGUAAGCGUCUUGUGAAAUCCCUCGGCUUAACCGGGGAAUUGCUUGGCGAACUACUGUUCUUGAGGCAAGCAGGGGUGCGUGGAACUCUUGGUGGAGCGGUGGAAUGCGUAGAUAUCAAGAGGAACGCCGAUGGUGUAAACAAUGCACUGGGCUUGUCCUGACGCUGAGGCACGAAAGCGUGGGGAGCGAACAGGAUUAGAUACCCUGGUAGUC